GACGAACGCUGGCGGCGUGCUUAACACAUGCAAGUCGAACGGAAAGGCCCUGCUUUUGUGGGGUGCUCGAGGGGCGAACGGGUGAGUAACACGUGAGUAACCUGCCAUUGACUUUGGGAUAACUUCAGGAAACUGGGGCUAAUACCGGAUAGGAGCUCCUGCUGCAGGGUGGGGGUGGGAAAGUUUCGGCGGUUGGGGAUGGACUCGCGGCUUAUCAGCUUGUUGGGGGGGUAGUGGCUUACCAAGGCUUUGACGGGUAGCCGGCCGGAGAGGGUGACCGGCCACAUUGGGACUGAGAUACGGCCCGGACUCCUACGGGAGGCAGCAGUGGGGAAUAUUGCACAAUGGGCGGAAGCCUGAUGCAGCAACGCCGCGUGCGGGAUGACGGCCUUCGGGUUGUAAACCGCUUUCGCCUGUGACGAAGCGUGAGUGACGGUAAUGGGUAAAGAAGCACCGGCUAACUACGUG
rnacentral:rRNA from 1 species